rnacentral:rRNA from 1 species
AAUGAACGCUGGCGGCAGGCCUAACACAUGCAAGUCGAGCGAGAGCAUCGGGUCUACUGGCGGAUGCGUGUGUAAAGUGUGGGAACGUGCCGUUCUCUAUGGAAAAGUCCCGGGAAAUUGGGACUAACACCGUAUAUGCUACCUGAGGGCACGAUUUAUCGGAGGAGGAUCGGCCUGGGAUGUACUAGGUUGUUGGUGGGGUAAUGGCCCACAACGGCGUAGAUCCAUAGCUGGUUAGAGAGGCUCGGCAGCCACACUGGGACUGAGACGCGGCCCGGAAUCCUAGGGAAUGCAGCAGAGGGGAAUCUUAGACAAUGGAGGGAGCCCUGAUCUAGCCAUGCUGGGUAAGUGAUGAAGGCCUUAGGGUAGUGAAGCUCUUUCAGCUGGGAAGGUAAUGACGGUACCAGCAGAAGAAGCCCCGGCUAACUCCGUG